rnacentral:rRNA from 1 species
UACAGAGGGUGCGAGCGUUAAUCGGAAUUACUGGGCGUAAAGCGUGCGUAGACGGUUAUUUAAGUCGGGUGUGAAAGCCCCGGGCUCAACCUGGGAAUUGCAUUCGAGACUGCAGAGCUGGAGUCCUGGAGAGGAAGGCGGAAUUCUCGGUGUAGAGGUGAAAUUCGUAGAUAUCGAGAGGAACACCGGUGGCGAAGGCGGCCUUCUGGACAGUGACUGACGCUGAGACGCGAAAGCGUGGGGAGCAAACAGG